rnacentral:rRNA from 2 species
CACACGACUCUCGGCAACGGAUAUCUCGGCUCUCGCAUCGAUGAAGAACGUAGCAAAAUGCGAUACCUGGUGUGAAUUGCAGAAUCCCGCGAACCAUCGAGUUUUUGAACGCAAGUUGCGCCCGAGGCCUUCUGGCCGAGGGCACGUCUGCCUGGGCGUCAUGC